ACGGCCCACCCGCCGGUCGGCACCGCGAUGGUGUUCCGCUCCUGCGGGUUGACGAGGUUGAAGUGCUGCUUCGCGGCCGUGUCGUAGUUGCCGAACCCCUGCGCGACGACGAAGAAAUUGAACCCGUGCAGGUGCAUCGGGUGGCUCUCGCGCCCCACCAGCGCCGUGUUCUGCAGCACCACCUCCACCGUCGCGUUGUACGCCAGCGUCCUCACCUUCGUGGACUGCGGUCCCGGGAACAGCAGCGCCGCGGCGACGCCGCCCAGCAGCAGCCGCUCCGUCUGGUUCGUGUAGUCGAAC
rnacentral:misc_RNA from 1 species